GUGCUCGCUUUGGCAGCAUAAAAUACUAAAAUUGGAACCAUACAGAGAUUAGCAUGGCCCCUGCACAAGGAUGACUCGCAAAUUCAUUAAGUGUUUCAUGUUUAA
ensembl:snRNA U6 U6 spliceosomal RNA